AGCUGAUUCCCCCAUAAUCACCUGACUCCUGGAGCUGGGACUGAAGGAAUACCAAACAUCACAAGGCUUGUGAUAAGAUUACAAGACCUGGCAACACUGAAAGCGUCACAAGUAGAAGAUGUUGCUAAGCGGGGAUGAGUUAGAGAGCUUUAUACAGGCUUUGCAGUUGCAUGUCUCUCCUUCUUUAUAACAGUAACAGUGGAAAGUCAAGGUCCACACCUAGCAGCCAGAGAACCUGGGUGAAAAAAACUGCCUUAGUACUUAAAGGAGGCUCUGUAGUUCAUGUCUUUCCUUUCUCCUAGCAGCAGGAGUGUUAAUGUCACAGGCAGUCUGACCUUUUAAGGUGAGCCAGGCUCAACCUUCCCUGUGACCUGGUAGCUACCUCAGCUGAAUGUUAUAUGGAGACUUAAUUAUGAUGACUGACCCCAGCUGUGGGGAGGAGCAGUGCAUACAUAAAACAGAGUGGAGCACUCAGUAGAGGGUCUGGGAAAGUAGUUCUAGGAGGUUCUCCCUCUUUGGAAAGGGUUUGGGAGAGGCAAACUGAAGAAAACUAUAGGGUGGAUGUAGGACUCUGUUUCCAGUCUCUCAUAAACCUGAGGGUGUGGUAGACUGAAUCUGUCUAGACUCAGGUUUGGAUCCUUCACCUUGCUAGCAUGAAUGAAGAUUUCUGAAGCUUCUGAGAUGACUAUUGCCUGGGAGAGUGCCUGCUUAUGCUGUUUCAAGAGGACAGGGAUGUCACGGAGACUUGACUGAGUGUCAUGCUGUUGAUUCAUAUUAAACUUGAAAUCCACUAUGUACCCCACACACGUGAACAAAGGGCUAACAGGUAUCUGAGAGAUGAGGAGUCCCAUCUUGGUGUACCUGGAGGGUGUGUUGGGCAUGAUAUCGGACCUAACUGGGAAGGAGCUCGGCCUUUCAUACAAGAAGGAAAUGGAAAGCUAAAUGGGAGGCCCAGGAGAGGGGCCCAGGACAGAGAAGGCCAGGAGAGAGGAGAAGGGGUGUAACUGAAACAUGACCUGGCCAGAGGGCUGAGUGAUGAGAAGAGAGGCCACCAUAGGACCAGAGUGACUAUUGGGAAGAGGUGCCAGAGCAGAAAGAGCCACUAUGCUCAGCUACAAGGGGGGAGUGCCAGCAGAGUCAUCCCUGGUUUUACCUCCGCUCCUGCAGGAUUCCUAGGGGUGGCUAGGCCAUCAGGGGUUGCAGCAGCUGUGAUGGUGGAAUGCAACUACAACCUCCCCUCUGCAAAGCAAGAAAAAUGGAAAGCCAGAGAAGGGGCGUGGACCAGAACAGAUAGGAUUUAUUUCCUAUCCAUCUAUGGCAUUCAUUAUUUUCUGGACUCUUCUGACUGGAUUUCAUACUUAUGAAAAAUGUUCUUCUCUUCCAUGGGGAGGAAACCAUUCAUAUUUUUCUGUGUACUGAUGUCCUUCUUAAAUGUUGGGUCAGAUCUCCAACUGGUGUAAACCUCCAUAGUCCUAUGGAAAUCAGUGAAGAAGAACUGAUUUAUACCAGCUGAGAAACUGUAUUGAGUUAAAUGAAGCUAUGGUGAUUGACACCAGCUAGGUUCUGACCCACUCUCAUUAGGAUUUUGCUUGUAUCGAUCAGGUCAGAUUUGCUAAUCUAUAGUCUCUUGGUGUUUCUUCUAGUGGCUGAAUAUUGCCCUUUAUCACCAGUGGCAGUUCAGCAUGUGACCUCAGAGUAGUAUAUUGCCUUUGGAUUUGAAUUAUGUUUAUUUCCCACCAGUCUAUCAACACCUUCUCUCACUAAUGAGCUAUUACAAAUCUGUAUUUAGAGGAUCACUAAUCUUUCAAGAUGCUAAUGUGUAACUCAUCUAGCUGUAAUGCCCCAGUGACAAAAGAGGGAAUUUCACAGUAGAGAACAUUUUUAAAAGAAAUGUAUGUGCCAAGAGAAAUGUGCUUGGUGGGGAUAUUUGGGUUCUCUUGUUGUUUCAGAUAUUUAUGUUGGAAUAAAAACCU